rnacentral:RNase_P_RNA from 1 species
CCUACGGAAAGUGCCACAGAAAUGAUACCGCCAUGCGUAAGCAUGGUAAGGGUGAAAUGGUGCGGUAAGAGCGCACCGCGCUGUUGGUAACAACAGUGGCAGGGUAAACCCCACUUGGAGCAAGGCCAAGCAGGGAGCAAGUCGCGGCUUGGCCGCGACUGCGGAUCGGCCCGAUCCGUAAUGACUCCCGGGUAGGUCGCACGAGGUGACGGGCAAUCGUCAUCCUAGAUAAAUGAUUCCCACUUGGUGUGUUGGCAUACCGAGUACAAAACCCGGCUUAUCGCCCCACUGCAGUU